rnacentral:rRNA from 1 species
GGACGAACGCUGGCGGCGUGCCUCAUACAUGCAAGUCGAGCGGACUGACUUCGGUCAGUUAGCGGCGGACGGGUGAGUAACACGUGGGUAACCUGCCCUAAAGACCGGGAUAACAUCCUGAAAGGGAUGCUAAUACCGGGUGUGGUCUAGUUGUCGCAUGGCAGCUAGAAGAAAGGCGAAAGCCGCUUUAGGAUGGACCCGCGGCCCAUUAGCUAGUUGGAGGGUAAUGGCCUACCAAGGCGACGAUGGGUAGCCGACCCGAGAGGGUGACCGGCCACACUGGGACUGAGACACGGCCCAGACUCCUACGGGAGGCAGCAGUCGGGAAUAUUGGGCAAUGGGGGAAACCCUGACCCAGCAACGCCGCGUGAGUGAUGAAGGCCUUCGGGUCGUAAAGCUCUGUCCUUGGGGACGAAGAAUGACGGUACCCAAGAAGAAAGCCACGGCUAACUACG